AAGUCGUAACAAGGUCUCCGUAGGUGAACCUGCGGAGGGAUCAUUAACACUAUUUGAUAAAAUAUUUGUUUACUCAAGUAUUUUUCAAAUUUCCACACACAUUGCGAACUCGUUGAUUUAUUCUUUUAGAAAUAAAAAAAUAAAUUAACCUACUAUAACUGCCCCAAAGUUUAGGUUGCCGACGCGACAAGUGAACGAUUUUUAUCUUCUUUCAUGCGUGCGAGAGGUUAAAAAACGUGGCUCCGCUUCCGUACUUUGGCGUAGUUUUUUGGGAGAUAUUACACUUACAUAUAUCUCGUCCCCUUUGCCAUUCACCAUAAACCAAUCGACUGAUUUUAAAGAUUAACGGAAACGUUUUGAUCUUCAUAUUUAAAAAUAAGAGCACAACUCUUAGCAACGGAUAUCUUGGUUCUC
rnacentral:misc_RNA from 1 species